GAUGAACGCUAGCGGCAGGCCUAAUACAUGCAAGUCGAACGGUGUAGCAAUACACAGUGGCGCACGGGUGCGUAACACGUAUGCAACCUACCUUACAUUGGGGGAUAGCCUUUCGAAAGGGAGAUUAAUACCGCGUAAGACAGUAACUAGGCAUCUAGUAGCUGUUAAAGAUUUAUCGAUGUAAGCUGGGCAUGCGUCCAGUUAGUUAGUUGGCGAGGUAAUGGCUCACCAAGACGAUGAUUGGUAGGGGAACUGAGAGGUCAAUCCCCCACACGGGCACUGAGAUACGGGCCAGACUCCUACGGGAGGCAGCAGUAGGGAAUAUUGGGCAAUGGGCGCAAGCCUGACCCAGCCAUGCCGCGUGCAGGAAGAAGGCGUUAUGCGUUGUAAACUGCUUUUAUACAGGAAGAAACGACCCUUGCGAGGGGCAUUGACGGUACUGUAUGAAUAAGCACCGGCUAACUCCGUGCCAGCCGCCGCGGUAA
rnacentral:rRNA from 1 species